GAGGGUAUAGCUCAGUGGUAGAGCAAAUGACUAGCAUGCAGGAGGUCCUGGGUUCAAUCUCCAGUACCUCCA
rnacentral:tRNA from 1 species